GUCUACGGCCAUACCACCCUGAACAUGCCAGAUCUCAUCUUCUGAUCUCGGAAGCUAAGCAGGGUCGGGCCUAGUUAGUACUUGGAUGAGAGACCGCCUGGGAAUACCGGGUGCUGUAGGCU
rnacentral:rRNA from 1 species